GGUGGUUCUCGGGUGACACACCCCAGAAUUGGGCUCCUUCCUCUCUGGCUCCGGGUGCAUCAACCAGGAACUGCA
rfam:Myotis lucifugus cont2.8264, whole genome shotgun sequence.